UCGGGCUGUAAGUUAAGUAAACUACCAGACUUCAAAUCUGAACAUAUCCUUUAAGGUGGGUCAGCCUGAU